rnacentral:snRNA from 1 species
AAAAUCUAUACACAAGCAAUCGGUGAUCAGAAAGGCCAAUGCCCUAGGGUGGCUGUCCUCAUUGCGCUUAGAGCAUCUCGCCAAGUGGGAGAAUGCACGUCAUAAUUUGUGAUAGAAGGGUACGCGUUUGCGCGACCCCUAC